AAAGAUUCGUACCAUUAAAUUAGUUUUAAUUUUUUUUAAAACAGAAGUAUUUUCAUUUUUCAUUAAGAAAAUCUGUUGCUUCAAAUUUGGUGUCAGCUAUACAUUCAAAAGUUCAUUAAAGGAACAACCAAACUCGUAAAAAGUUGUUGUAGUUGGACAACAGGUAAAAAGAUGCUAUAGAGGAACAACCAACCAGGUAAAAAGAUGCUAUAGAGGAACAACCAACCAGGUAAAAAGUUGUGAUGCUAAAAAAAAAAAAAGCUGGAGGAAGAUCUUCAACUAAUGAGGUUCAAUUCCAACAGGAUAGAAACAUGACUGGGUAUAAAAAGGACAUUCAGAGAGGCUUAGUCUUUCAGAAGGAAAGAUGGGAAGAGGUUCACCAAACUGUGAGAGACUGUGUGAGCUAAAAGUUCACCAGUUUCAGAAUAAUGUUCCUGAGUGUCAGAUGUGAAAGAAUGAGUGGAUUUCAUCAUCUGCAGAACAUAAUAUCAUUAAAAGAUUCAGAGAAUGUAGUGAAAUCUCUGUACAGAGGACAAGGAUCAAAACCAAGACUGGAUAGUCCUGAUCUUUCGGCCCUCAGGCAGCUCUGCAUUAAAAACAAACAGGACUCUGGAGUAGAAAUCAUUGCAUGGGCUCUAAAUCACUGAAAAAACAAUUGACAGUGAACACAAUUCCUCACUUCGUCCACAAAUGAGGUCAAAACGGAACCAUGAAAAGAGGAAACCAGAUAGAAACAGAAUCCAGAAACACCAGAGACUUCUCUGGAUGUGGGUCCAUUUAAGGUGGACUGAGGGAAAAAGGAAAACUGCCUUGUGCUCAUGACAAUCAAAAUCUGACUUCCUUUUUGGAAAUCAUGGACACUGCAUCCUCCUCCCUAAGGAGUAGAGGGACCACCUGGCUUGUUCUCAGCUCCCAGUCCAAAGCCAGCAUACCUGAUAGUAUGGGGAUCAUCAGAGUCCAUGUCAUAGGUAGCUUCCACAUCUGUGAAAGCUGAACAACAUCUACAGGUUGAGGAGCAACAUCUGCUGCCAUCCAGACAAUGACUUUUUCAGGGAAGGUCUUCAUAUUUCAGUAAUACAAUGACAAACCACAUUCUAACAUCACGGAUUACAACAGCAUGGCUCUGUAGUAGAAGAGUCCUGCAGAUAAAAUGGCCUCUGUAACAACUUUUACAGACAUAUUGCUGACAUCAAAUUUGAAGUGAGCAGAUUUCUCAUGAAUGACAUUUUGAGUAUUUGUUUACCAUGCUGUCUUUGCUCUAUUUGGAUUUAAACAUAAACACUAAAAGUUUUGCAAACCAUCAGAUUCUAUUUUUUAUUCUUUUAUAUCCACAUGGAAAACAGUCCCUCAACUGGGAUUAUAAUUUGGUUCAACAGGUGUGAGUUUGAGUUUCCUCCACUUAGAAAAAACGAAUGUUAUAAUAAAU